CCAAAGGCUCUUUUAAGAGCCAUCCACAUAGCUAAGUAAAUGGAAG
rfam:Salmo salar isolate Sally breed double haploid chromosome ssa12, whole genome shotgun sequence.